AUAGAACUCGCUUGUAACGUCCGCGCCACGAGUGCUUGACGACGAGGUACCUACCCAGGUACUCUGGCUCCUCUUGAACUGAAGAUGAAGGGGAAGCAGAAGAAGGUGAGGUACUGGAGGGAUUAGAAGUCUCCAUGGAGGGAGGUUGAUCGGCAGAGUGUCGUGUUACAGAUUGAUGUCGUUGUUGGUCCUCAAGGUACUGAAGAGUGUGGGAGCGAGGAGCAUUGUUAAAGCGCAGGAAGAAGAGAAGUCCCACGCCAGGUCGGGGCUGAGACCGAGACUGAUUCGCCCCCAGCUUUCGACGCCGUCGUGAUUUAAGGAGUCGUGCGCUGGAUUCGAUCGAAAGGGAAGGGAAGAGAAGCCUCGCCUGAUCGAAUUGGAAAUAGAGACGGGAAAGUGGGAAGAAUUACAAGAUCUCGAUCGGGAUUGAAGCUUUGGCGAAUUAGGGUUUAAGAAUCGGCAGGGGAAAGGGGUUUCAAAGAGGGAAAUUGGAGAAAAUGGAUGAGGGACGGGAAGAGGACGGCGAAGCGGAGGCGGCAGAGGAAGGUGUAGUUUUGUGCUUCGUCGUUGGUCUCUUGUGGGUGAGCUGUGAGUUGUGACCCCGCUGUCAAACGAAGCAACUCGGGCUGGCCGGAGAAAUAAAUAUAGUCUGUAUUUUAUUUUAUAUAAUUGUAAAUAAAUUUUUAUAUUUUUAAUAAGAAAAUUAUAAAUGAAGUUUUUGACAACACGAAGUAAUUUUUUUAAUUAAGGAUAUUUUAGUCUUUUACGGACUACCCGAAGUAAAAGAUGGAUUGUAUUGUGCAUAAAUUAUGGUCGGUUCAACCCGUCGGCCGUAGAUUUAUAUUUGUAUUUGCCGAUGAUGUGGCAUAAAAAACUUUUUAUGCAUAGUUUGGUAUUAAAGGAAGACGGACAUUUUGGUGGAACACAUACAUCUGGUAUAAACGUUAUAUUGCAAAAUAUCAUUGGCCAUUUAUUUUAAUAAAAAAUCAUUUUAAGUUAACACCUAAAUAUAUCAAACAAUGCAACUACAUCACGCAAAUUUAUUCAAUUUGAAUCCGUUAACCUUACUUCCAAUUAUUCAAUUAUAUAUUUCUUUUCUAAUUUUUGUUCCCUUAUCUUCCAUAUUAACCCAUCCCGCAAUAUAGGAAUUUUGACAAUUGAAGUUCAAUUAGCAGCUGGGAAGUGGAACUUAAUACCAGCAUCAUGACUUACCAAUGUGGGCGCAAAAUUUAUAGAUCGCAAAUUAUUGUAACGAUUAUGGAUAAAACUUAACAUGUUUGCAAAUCAUGUAUAAAGAUUUUAUGAGAAACAGCAUAUUGGGCGAGGAAUAGAAAAGAGAUGAAUUUUUUAUAAUCAUUUAGAGAACAAAGAAGAAGACAGUGAUGAUGCAAAAUGACCAGAUGAGGAACACAAUUCUGGGAUUCUAGAUAGCACUUGCUCCACUCGAUGGCUUGUCCAAUUAUCCAACUCCCUUGUUUUGCAGAAGAUCCGUUUCUUGUCCUCUUAUUGUUAUACACCAUAUGAAGCUCGAUCACAUUUCUAGUUUUCACGUCAAUCGAUUCAUCAUCAUCUUCUUCUUCUAAUCAAGUACCUCACGUAUCGCAACUAAGUCCAGUCUCUCACGGUUCUAAAACAAGUUUUUCCCCUUAGGUGUUGUAUGCAAGGUUGACGAAGGUGCUAGGCUUAAGGCCCGUCUAGACAUAUGGACAAAAAAAUAGAAUGUUUUAUGAGAACUAGGAGGACUUAGUUGCAACAUGAAAUUACAUUAAAGUGAAUGACUAGUUUCUAAAUGAAAUUUUGGGUGUGUGAAUGAGGGGAUGUGAACUGAAAGGAAAGACGUAGAGUGAAGAUAAGGUUAUGAAAAUUAAAAAAACUAAUUAGAAGGAAAGUUAACGAAUUUAAAUCGAAUAAAUUUGGGUGAUUUAGUUGCAUUGUUUAACAUAUUUAGAUGUUAACUUAGCAUUAUUUUUAUAAAAAAACAACAGCCAAUGAUAUUUCGCCACGUAACGUAUGUACCAGGUUCAUGUUUCCGUCGGAGUGUUACCCUUAAAUGAAUCAUUUGAAAUUAAUUCCUAUGUUUGGAAUGUCAUAUUUAAUUCUUAAAAAUAAAUUGAAUUGAAUUCUCAAAUCAUAUUUGGUAUACGAUUCAUAAUUGAAUUAAAUCAAAAGUUUCCACAUAUACCCUUUCAACUAACAAGACAUUACCAUUACUCAUUUAGUGGAAGAGCUUAUGGAAUUAGCAGCUAUAUCACCGUGAUCGCUACAUAGGAUUACCGUAUAUAAUACUCCAACCUAAAAUGGUAACUUUCAGCUUCCUUGAGGAACAGGUGGUCCGACGCCUUCAAACCUGGAACUGCGAUUGCCUCUCUCCUUUCUAGACCCGCACCCUCCUCCACUCAAUCAUUGAUUGAGUCUCCGUCUAUGCCAUAUCUUGUUUAUGGCUCCCUAACGAGACGUGUCGCCGACUCUCAUAGAAGAUUGUGGAGUUUUGGUGGGGCCAAACAUUUGACCGUCGGAACAUGCAUUGGAUUGCCCGACAGGCCCUCUGUCUUCCCGUUUGAAGGCGGGGGGGUCUAAGCUUGCGUGAUUUCAUGAUCUUCAAUCGAGCCCUUCUUGCCAACCACUUUUGGCGGCUCUUAGAGAAUCCUGACUUCUUACUAGCUAAACUCAUCUAUGCCUGCUAUCACCCAUUUGAUGAUCUCCUGAUAGCGUAAGAGGGGUCUCACCCAUCAUGGGGAUGGUACAGCCUCCUCCAUGGUCGCAAACUGCUCCUCCAAGGCCUUUCGCUAUCAGGUAGGGGAUGGUUCUCCAUUCGUUUCCUCCAGGCCCCAUGGCUCUUGGGCCAGGUUUAAACCCAAAAUCGGGACUCCCAUCCCUCUACUCCCUCGGUCCGUACAAGGGCCCACCCCUUGUAAGUGACUUCAUCAACGAUGGACGUUGGCACGUGAACCUCCUUCAGACCCACUUCUGAUCUGACUUGGUGUGUAGUAUUCUUUCGAUCUGUUACCCUCACCCUAGGUACGGACCACAGGAUCUGGCACUAUGCGUCGAGCGGCCUCUUCAUGACAUGUCUGCCUUUCGCCUAGCAGAACUUUGCCCCCUAGCCAGACUCGAGGCCUUAGUGUCUCUCAUGUACAGCAAUCUCUAGCACUCAGUCUGGACACUCCCGGUCCUACCCAAACUUUGCUUUUUCCUCUGGCACCUGCUGCACCGUAUCCUCCCAAGCUGUUAGGCAUUACAGAACAAGCUCGACCAAGAUAAAAUCUCAGAUCUGUUGUACCCGAUCUGUCUCCAAGCGAACAAAUCGGUCUAACAUCUACUUCACUUGUGCCCUUCCGCCUUGGCUCUCUCACUGGCCUUCGGCCUAUGCCUUUUUCCUGACCACCACCCUGCUGUGCUCUAGCGUGGUUUGAUGCGCUCAUCCCUAGAUCUAGCCCCCCCCCCCCCCCCCCCGCCCCCCCCCGCCCUCGGUCUUUUUUUGGCGGUUCGCUAUACACGCGGUGGCACAUAUGGAAAUCAAGGAAUAUAGUCGUCUAUGGCCGCCUCCAGCUGCAGCCAACCACCCAAUACUUCCACUACAACGUUCUAACACAUAUGUGGCAGGCAAAUUUGUCUGCAACAAAGCUAGAAAUACCUUGUCACAGGUGCAUUGUCAUGGGCUUCACGUGCGACUAAGCUUGUCGCAGGCGGAGUGUGAGUAGGCUCGUGCGACAAGCUAGUCGCAGGUCAUGCCUGCGACAACGCGCAUGCGACAAGCUUGUCUCACGCGAAGCAUGCGAUAAUCUGCCAGCAACAAGGUCGUCGCACGCGCUGCCUGCAACAAAGCUAUUGCACCUUAUUUUGUACGUGUUUAAUGUCGGUUGGCUCUAAUCCUACAGCUUUAUUGACCAGAAUUUACAGUCCGUAAGCAGCUUUAAAAGUUAUAAAUAUUUUUUAUUUCGAGCAAUCGAAAUGAACUGGAAAUAGAACUAGUUCUGAAUUAUUACUAAAUUCCCAUAUAUCACAACAAUAAGUGAUGACCCUCGGUUUCUUGUGUUCAUCGGCCUUAGUUAAGCGACAUUUCAUGCAUAUGUGUAUAGCUUUGGAUAGCGUUUAGGGUGUUUCGCGCAUUUAUAGCUUUUAUUUCGAUUUAGUGUCUCAGACCCGUUUGAGGUACUUUUGAUGUCAUUUUGGUGUGUAUUUGUAAGAUUUCAGGUACAUGAUCAUGUCAAGGCACUAUUCGAAGCAAUACAUGCAUGUACGGACGAGGUGAGAAGUGAAGAAAUCACAAGGGCUGCAUGUUGUCAAAAUUGGCGAUAUAGAAUGUCAAAGUUGGCGCUAUGAACAUAGCCCCAAUAUUGACCAUCCAUAGCGCCAAUUUUGACACCCAUCUCUGAUCAUCUCGAGUAUAUAUUGACGCUAUCAAAUGUCAAAGUUGGAGCUAUGACCCUAGCGCCAAUAUUGACAUAAGGUGAUAGCGCCAAUGUUAACAUUUCGGAAUUAAAAGGAUGUUUCGGAAAUCCUAUAAAAAGCCCGAUUCUCCCUCAUUCGAAGACAGACUUCCAUGGAGGAAACUGAGAGCUUUAUUGAGAGAUUUGAGAGCAACUAAAAGCAACUUUAAGGAGCUCGAAAUUGGUAAAGUAAUCAAGACGGCGAAUCAAGUUCUUAGGAAGAUCGACGAAAUUAAGUUUUUCAUAAUUCUUUGUGUAAACCUAAAUUCAGUGUCUUCCUCUUCUAAUUUUGAUUUGUCUCUCGAGAUUAUCAGUAGCUAAACUUCUCAAUUGAUUUUUAUCCCAAGCCGAAUUUCACAGGACGAGAAGAUGAGAGGUAUGACAAGGAAGAAACAAAGAGAUCAAGAAUCAAAUGAGCUCGAUUACAUGAAGACUCGGCUACUAUUUUCAAAUUUUUUUGCUCAUUUUUCAUUUAGUGGGUUGUGAUGCUCUUAACAAACAUGAUGACAAGUCUACCUUGAAAGGAUAGAGAUUGUCAUGAUAGAGGAUUAAGAUGUAGAGUUUCAAAAAGUAUACCGACUAAAUAGUAAAUAUGUAAUUGAAGAUUGGUAUAUAAUACCAUUCUCUCUAGUUUCAAAAAUUAAUCAAUGAACAAUUAAUUUGGCUUUAAGCCUUAAUUUCUUCCCUUUUGAGGCUCAUUACUUUCUUCUCUCUUUCUCUUCUCAUCUAAAUCACUUCCCUUCUUGCCUAAAUGGGUUAUCAUUCCCAUAAUCACUUGUCGAAGAAUAUCUCGAUCCCGUUGAGACAUCACAUCAAAAGCAUUCACUCAACAUUAAAUAACCCCCACAUUCUAUAAGUCUUCAUGCACUUACUUCAUAGUUUUCCGGGCGCCUUUCAACAAGUGAUACCCUAGUCCGAAUCAGUUGACCGGAGAUAGCAUCACCAUGCUUUCCAAGCCCACCUUUAGGAUCGACUCCCAAAGUUAGUCCAGGAACGUUAAGAGUUCCAUGAGUAGCAGAGUGCAACCUGGUUGCAGACCAAUCGCCACAAGGAGUUUCCGGAGCUCCAACUGCUCUUUUUCUACGUUGGAGGCCAUAAAUAAGAAUAAUUAGUAGAAACAAAACCAAAGGACAGUAAGUUGCCCAAAGAAUGCAAAGGUACCUCUUCUCUUUAAAUACUCCAUUACAGCCAGUGGCUGAGAGCUGUUCACCACCAGUGAUACUCCGACCAUUCCCUUGGCAGUCUUAGUCUGCAGCAACAAGCACUCGCUACAUAUAAACUCCUAUAACACACUGAUGACUCGAAAAACGGAGGAUUGGGUGAUCUUGUUUCAUGAGGACACCUAUAGGAAUAUUCUGCCAACACACUGCAUCAACCUAAAAGAAGGGUGGAGCUAAAUGAACAUGAGAUAUAGAUACCAUACAUACUAGGUUUAAGAUAAUUGUAGAGUUUGUGGUUGCCAAAGAACCUUCGAAGACUUUGGAUUUUCUUCCGUAUAGAGGGCAACGAACAGAAUCACCAUGAUCACUUUUCUUCCCAUAAGCAUCUGAAAGGACUAUGAUUGCUGGGGAUUUCAUGUCUCUAAAGUCCAAGCAUCUGAAAGUGACUUUCAAUUUCUGUAACGAAGCCGACUAUCAAAAUCAGUAACCUCAAAAGGCAUACCAAAUCAUGCAUCAUAAUUAUGCAAAUACUGAAACUUAAUCAUAAAAACUAAUAGCUGAACGGAGUAAAGUUCCACAGCUGAUCGAUUCAGUACUACAGUGUCAAUGCCUAUGAUCUAUUCAGCAAUACACUGUCCUAUAAAGAUUAUCCAGAUGCGUAAAACAGCUAACAGAAGGGAAGGAAGAAACCGAACUGAUAAAAAAGUUGACCGGGAAGAAGAGCACUUACAUGAUACGGUACCCAUUCUCCAUUCCGUUGUCGCAAAUGCAAUGCCGGGAACUCCGCAACUGGCCCAAUCCUAUUCCACCUCAGUUUAUGCAGCUCAGUCAAUAUACUAGCUCUACAUUUGGAAGAAAACUUCAUCGCCUUGAAUUUCCCUUUCCCAUCCGUCCUCACACUCAAAUUGAACUCAGUCGAACUCUCAUCCCUGCCGACAAUGGGGGACGCACCCUCAAAAUCAGUGGCCACAUCGUAAGAGUUCGUCACCGCUAGCGAAUUGGGGUCCAAAGUAAAAAUCGCAACGUCUGAAAUGCAUAGAACUCGCUUGUACCGUCCGCGCCACGAGUGCUUGACGACGUGGUACCUACCCAGGUACUCUGGCUCUUCUUGACCUGAAGAUGAUGAGGAAGGAGAAGCAGAAGAAGGUGAGGUACUGGAGGAUUAGAAGUCUCCAUGGAUGGAGGUUGAUCGGCAGAGUGUCGUGUUACAGAUUGAUGUCGUUGUUGGUCCUCAAGGUACUGAAGGUGUGAGAGCGAGGAGCAUUGUUAAAGCGCAGGGAGAAGGGAAGUCCCACGCCAGGUCGGGGCUGAGACCGAGACUUGACUGUCCCAAAAACCUAACCAGGUUAUGCCUCCUAAAGUAAAAAUGAAGAAAUUAAUAGACAUUGAACAUGUUAAUGCAUAUUCCAACUUCCACUAUUAAUUCAUGUAAAACCAUAAACUAUGAAACUACAGAGAGGUAGAGAGUGUAAUAAUGGUUGAUACAACAUUAAUAUUAGCAAUUGAGAUUGUUUUUUCAACUUUGUAAUUAUCAAAAUAAUCGAACGACCCUGGAAGCUCACCCUCUUUCUUUUCAUACCAAUUUGACGCUUCAACAACCAAUCAUCAU
rnacentral:lncRNA from 1 species